UAGAAAUUUUCAGAUGAAGUAAAAGUCAAAAUUAACUGUGUUACAGAAACAAGAAAGUUUGUCCUUGUGAAAGAAAUUUUCAGAUGAAGCAAAAAUCAAAAUUAACUGUAUUAUAGAAACAAGAAAGUUUGUCCUCGUGAAAGUGUAUUCCUUCAGGACCAAGGGAGGAUUCACAAUAUCCCCAAGGCAUGUGAGGCCCUGGGCAGAGGAAGUAGGGCAGGAGCUGACAGGAGGCCAGCCACACAGAUGCAUGCUGGGAGUAUGAGCCACUACCGAGCUGAUGUGCUUCUGGGUCUGCUUGACACGCUUCACUUCAG